rnacentral:rRNA from 1 species
AUGAACGCUGGCGGCGUGCCUAAUACAUGCAAGUCGAGCGAACGGACGAGAAGCUUGCUUCUCUGAUGUUAGCGGCGGACGGGCGAGUAACACGUGGAUAACCCACCUAUAUGACUGGGAUAACUUCGGGAAACCGGAGCUAAUACCGGAUAAUAUUUUGAACCGCAUGGUUCAAAAGUGAAAGACGGUCUUGCUGUCACUUAUAGAUGGAUCCGCGCUGCAUUAGCUAGUUGGUAAGGUAACGGCUUACCAAGGCAACGAUGCAUAGCCGACCUGAGAGGGUGAUCGGCCACACUGGAACUGAGACACGGUCCAGACUCCUACGGGAGGCAGCAGUAGGGAAUCUUCCGCAAUGGGCGAAAGCCUGACGGAGCAACGCCGCGUGAGUGAUGAAGGUCUUCGGAUCGUAAAACUCUGUUAUUAGGGAAGAACAUAUGUGUAAGUAACUGUGCACAUCUUGACGGUACCUAAUCAGAAAGCCACGGCUACCUACGUG